rnacentral:rRNA from 1 species
GACGAACGCUGGCGGCGUGCUUAACACAUGCAAGUCGAACGGAAAGGCCCUGCUUUUGUGGGGUGCUCGAUUGGCGAACGGGUGUGUAACACGUGAGUAACCUGCCCUUGACUUUGGGAUAACUUCAGGAAACUGGGGCUAAUACCGGAUAGGAGCUCCUGCUGCAUGUUGGGGGUUGGAAAGUUUCGGCGGUUGUGGAUGGACUCGCGGCUUAUCAGCUUGUUGGUGGAGUAGUUGCGUACCAAGGCUUUGACGGGUAGCCGGCCUGAGAGGGUGAACGGCCACAUUGGGACUGAGAUACGGCGCAGACUGCUACGGGAGGCAGAAGUGGGGAAUAUUGCACAAUGGGCGGAAGCCUGAUGCAGAAACGCCGCGUGCGGGAUAACGGCUUUCGGGUUGUAAACCGCUUUCGACUGUGACGAAGCGUGAGUGACGGUAAUGGGUAAAGAAGCAACGGCUAACUACGUG